rnacentral:sRNA from 1 species
UAUCUCUCCGUACGGGGAAGGAUGAGAAGCUUCGACUAAGGUUCGAUUCGAGCGCAGCGAGAAAGCGUUGCCGUAGGCAACGACCCGAAGGGCGAAGCGCGCAGCGCUGAGU